GGAAUAACUGUAUCAGUAAAACUAAAAAGAAAUUUCUUAAUAGGUGAAAAUUCCUUUAAUUAAUAUAAUAGACGAGAAGACCCUAAGAAUUAUAUAUUAAAAUUGUAAAUUUAUAAUAAAAUUUUUGUUGGGGCAACAGAUUUGGUAAAAUCAAUAAUCUUUAAAAUUUACAUACUAAGUAUAUUUAAUAGGAAUUUAAUUACCUUAGGGAUAACAGCAUUAUUAAUAUAUUAGAUUGUGACCUCGAUGUUGGACUAGGGACUUUUAAAGUAAGCCAUUUUGAAAGAUUGUUCUGUUCGAACAUAGAAC
rnacentral:rRNA from 1 species